UAAUACGGAGGGUGCAAGCGUUAUCCGGAUUCAUUGGGUUUAAAGGGUGCGUAGGCGGAUUUGUAAGUCAGCGGUGAAAUCCUACAGCUUAACUGUAGAACUGCCGUUGAUACUGCAAGUCUUGAGUACAUUUGAUGUGGGCGGAAUGUGUCAUGUAGCGGUGAAAUGCUUAGAUAUGACACGGAACACCAAUUGCGAAGGCAGCUCACAAAACUGUAACUGACGCUGAGGCACGACAGCGUGGGGAUCAAACAGGAUUAGAUACCCUGGUAGUCCACGCCGUAAACUAUGAUCACUCGAUGUUGGCGAUAUACAGCCAGCGUCUAAGCUAAAGCAUUAAGUGAUCCACCUGGGGAGUACGGUCGCAAGAUUGAAACUUAAAGGAAUUGACGG
rnacentral:rRNA from 1 species